AUUGAACGCUGGCGGCAUGCCUUACACAUGCAAGUCGAACGGUAACGGGCCUUCGGGUGCCGACGAGUGGCGAACGGGUGAGUAAUGUAUCGGAACGUACCUUUCAGUGGGGGAUAACGUAGCGAAAGUUACGCUAAUACCGCAUAUUCUGUGAGCAGGAAAGCAGGGGAUCGCAGGCCCUUGCGCUGAUUGAGCGGCCGAUAUCAGAUUAGCUAGUUGGUGAGGUAAAGGCUCACCAAGGCGACGAUCUGUAGCGGGUCUGAGAGGAUGAUCCGCAACACUGGAACUGGGACACGGUCCAGACUCCUACGGGAGGCAGCAGUGGGGAAUUUUGGACAAUGGGGGCAACCCUGAUCCAGCCAUGCCGCGUGAGUGAAGAAGGCCUUCGGGUUGUAAAGCUCUUUCGGCCGGGAAGAAAUCGUAUGGGUUAAUACCCUGUGCGGAUGACGGUACCGGCAUAAGAAGCACCGGCUAACUACGUGCCAGCCGCCGCCGUAAUAC
rnacentral:rRNA from 1 species